UACGGAGGGUGCAAACGUUGUCCGGAAUCACUGGGCGUAAAGCGCAUGUAGGUGGCUAUGUAAGUGGGCGAUUAAAUCCCGAUGCUUAACAUCGGAACCGUUGCCUAUACUGCAUGGCUGGAGGAUAGCAGGGGUAAGCGGAACUUUAGGUGUAGGAGUGAAAUCCGUAGAUAUCUAAAGGAACACCAAUGGCGAAGGCAGCUUACUGGGCUAUUUCUGACACUGAGAUGCGAAAGCGUGGGGAGCGAACGGG
rnacentral:rRNA from 1 species